GGAUGUGAGGGUGGUCUGACUGUGACAUCUAUCAUUCCAUUGAUCGUGAAGGUUGAUUCGGCUGGUCUGGCUGGCUAGGCAGAUACCCCUUCCUCCCUAACUGCUCUGGAAGCUGCAGUCUUCGUAGAAGAGGACAACCAUCCCAGAUAGUAGUGUCCCAUUCUUUGGUCAAUGAUAUAUUAGUAGUGGUUUGCAACGCAGACUGCUUUGCAUAAAGUAAAAAUCAAAAAGCUACAGCACUGCAAUCCUAUGGUAACAUAGCGAGCAAGUUUUCUUGCUUAAGAAGACACUUCUUG
rnacentral:snRNA from 1 species